GACGAACGCUGGCGGCGUGCUUAACACAUGCAAGUCGAACGGAAAGGCCCUGCUUUUGUGGGGUGCUCGAGUGGCGAACGGGUGAGUAACACGUGAGUAACCUGCCCUUGACUUUGGGAUAACUUCAGGAAACUGGGGCUAAUACCGGAUAGGAGCUCCUGCUGCAUGGUGUGGGUUGGAAAGUUUCGGCGGUUGGGGAUGGACUCGCGGCUUAUCAGCUUGUUGGUGGGGUAGGGGCUUACCAAGGCUUUGACGGGUAGCCGGCCUGGGAGGGUGACCGGCCACAUUGGGACUGAGAUACGGCCCAGACUCCUACGGGAGGCAGCAGUGGGGAGUAUUACACAGUGGGCGGAAGCCUGAUGCAGCAACGCCGCGUGCGGGAUGACGGCCUUCGGGUUGUAAACCGCUUUCGCCUGUGACGAAGAGUGAGUGACGGUAAUGGGUAAAGAAGCACCGGCUAACUACGUG
rnacentral:rRNA from 1 species